CUGAAGCCAUAGGGAAACCGAGUCUGAAUAGGGCGAAUUUGUCGCUGGUGGUAGACCCGAAACUGCGUGAUCUACCCAUGAGCAGGUUGAAGCGCGGGUUAAACUGCGUGGAGGACCGAACCCACUUGGGUUGAAAACCGAGGGGAUGACUUGUGGGGAGGAGUGAAAGUCUAAUCAAACGCAGAGAUAGCUGGUUCUCACCGAAAUAGCUUUUGGGCUAGCCUCGUGCAACUAUGAACUGGGGGUAGAGAGACUGAAUUGGCGUGGGGUUCCUUCCAGACUACCCA
rnacentral:rRNA from 13 species